rnacentral:lncRNA from 1 species
GAAAAAGGGAGUCUCAUAUGCCUUCAUCAGGAUUUACAUGUUAUCUUACAGGUACUUAGCGAUAGUGGCUGGAGUAGAGAAAAGAAAUCAGCACUGCUCUGUAGAUGUGCCCAGGAGGAGUUCCUACUGUUUGAAGACCUGGUAAAUGAUUACAACCUUCAACCAGGAUUGACUGCCAAAGGAUUGAACACUGAGAGUUGGUAUUAUGGGUCAACCCCUUUUUCUGUCCCAUCGGAAGUCCUAGCAAGGGGAUGUAUGAAAACCUACUCCAGAUUCACUCAUUGUCACUCUGCAGGUUUCAGAAACAGAGAGAUGCAAGUCUGAAACCUAGAUGCAAAGAAAAGUUCAAUGUUACUCCAGGAAGGUGAGAAAUUAUUAGAAAGAAAUAAUAUUGGCGUUAGGCUGAAAAUCAAGUGUCUUAUUUCCAGUUAGGCCACGACUAUCUUAUUCCAGUUCCUUCCUCUUUUCUCUGUGCCUCAGUUUUGCAUGCAGUUAAAUAAGGGCGUCGCUUAGCUAAAUUCCAAGGCUAAAUUCUAUCGUGGAGUUUUCUUGACUCUAUCACAGUUAGCACAAUUAAACUAUGGAUGGGAAGGGAGGAACUUAAUAUAAAUUAGUUUAGCUGUCAUUAUCAACUUAUCUGAGUGUCUGUUAGGGACAAAACAAGCCAACCCUCUGUAUGCCAUCACAAUUCACCACUAAUUCUUUGCUUACCUUUUCCCACUUCUUUAUAAAGACUUAUUUU